rnacentral:rRNA from 1 species
AAUGAACGUUGGCGGCAUGGAUUAGGCAUGCAAGUCGAGCGAGAAGAGUUUUGAAGCUUGCUUUAGAACUCGGACAGCGGCGAAAGGGAGAGUAACGCGUAGUUAUGUGCCCUAGGGUCCGGAAUAGCCACGGGAAACUGUGGGUAAUGCCGGAUAACAUCCCCGGAUCAAAGGUGUGAUUCCGCCCUAGGAGCAGACUGCGUCCUACUAGCUAGUUGGUGGGGUAAUGGCCCACCAAGGCAUGAUGGGUAGCGGGUGUGAGAGCAUGACCCGUGUCACGGGGACUGAGACACUGCCCAGACACCGACGGGUGGCUGCAGUCGGGAAUCUUCGGCAAGGGGCGAAAGCCUGACCGAGCGAUGCCGCGUGCGGGAUGAAGGCCCUCGGGUUGUAAACCGCUGUCGUAGGGGAGGAAGGUUCCGUGAAGAGCGGAAUUUGACCUAUCCUAGGAGGAAGUACGGGCUAAGUUCGUGCCAGCAGCCGCAGUAACAC